AUGAACGCUGGCGGCGUGCCUAAUACAUGCAAGUUGAGCGCUGAAGUUUGGUACUUGUACCAGACGGAGGAGCAGCGAACGGGUGAGUAACGCGUGGGUAACCUGCCUCAUAGAGGGGGAUAACUACUGGAAACGGUAGCUAAUACCGCAUAACACUUAGUGUCACAUGACACAGAGUUGAAAGUGCCAAUUGGUACACUAUGAGAUGGACCCGCGUUGUAUUAGCUAGUUGGUGAGGUAACGGCUCACCAAGGCGAUGAUACAUAGCCGACCUGAGAGGGUGAUCGGGCACACUGGGACUGAGACACGGCCCAGACUCCUAAGGGAGGCAGCAGUAGGGAAUCUUUCACAAUGGGCGAAAGCCUGAUGAAGCAACGCCGCGUGAAUGAAGAAGGGUUUCGGCUCGUAAAAUUCUGUUGCUAGAGAAGAACGUAUCAAGUAGGAAAUGGCUUGGUAGUGACGGUAUCUGGUUAGAAAGUCACGGCUAACUACGUGC
rnacentral:rRNA from 1 species